AGUGAACGCUGGCGGUAGGCCUAACACAUGCAAGUCGAACGGCAGCACAGUAAGAGCUUGCUCUUACGGGUGGCGAGUGGCGGACGGGUGAGGAAUACAUCGGUAUCUACUUUUUCGUGGGGGAUAAUGUAGGGAAACUUACGCUAAUACCGCAUACGACCUACGGGUGAAAGCAGGGGAUCUUCGGACCUUGCGCGAUUGAAUGAGCCGAUGUCGGAUUAGCUAGUUGGCGGGGUAAAGGCCCACCAAGGCGACGAUCCGUAGCUGGUCUGAGAGGAUGAUCAGCCACACUGGAACUGAGACACGGUCCAGACUCCUACGGGAGGCGGCAGUGGGGAAUAUUGGACAAUGGGCGCAAGCCUGAUCCAGCCAUACCGCGUGGGUGAAGAAGGCCUUCGGGUUGUAAAGCCCUUUUGUUGGGAAAGAAAAGCAGCAGGUUAAUACCCCGCUGUUCUGACGGUACCCAAAGAAUAAGCACCGGCUAACUUCGUG
rnacentral:rRNA from 1 species